AGCCCGACAGCUCUGUACUGCUGAGUGGAGGAAAUAACAAGAAAAGAGAGAAGAGGCUGUUUACUGACAGUUACCUCAGGCUGAGACAGAUGGGAACCUAGAAAAGAUUACAGAAUUGGGGCAGCUGGGAUGCGGCUCCCAACACACCUGGGCUGCUCUGCUCAGCAUGAUCGGUGACAGCUUCUGACAGCUUCCUUCAGACAAGCAGCAAACUCAUGGAAAGGUGACUGGAGCGAGCAGGAGUCAAGUUCUUUAGAGGCCAUGUGAACACAUCUGCGAGUGGAUUCUACUCAAAGCUUCAUUCAAGCUUUCAGAAGACAGCCAUCCCUGCUGACAGAUUGCCUGCAACCUCAUGAACCAGAACCCCUUGGCUCAGCUGCUCCUGGACUCUGCACUGUUGUUGUUUAAAGCUGGUCAUAUCCAGUCUAUGAGCAAAUCCCGUGGACUCCACCUGCAGAAUAUACUUAGCAUCUGAUGAUUCUCGAAACCUCC